rnacentral:rRNA from 1 species
UACGAAGGGGGCUAGCGUUGUUCGGAAUUACUGGGCGUAAAGCGCACGUAGGCGGAUACUUAAGUCAGGGGUGAAAUCCCGGGGCUCAACCCCGGAACUGCCUUUGAUACUGGGUAUCUCGAGUCCGGAAGAGGUGAGUGGAAUUCCGAGUGUAGAGGUGAAAUUCGUAGAUAUUCGGAGGAACACCAGUGGCGAAGGCGGCUCACUGGCCCGAUACUGACGCUGAGGCGCGAAAGCGUGGGGAGCAAACAGG